AACAAACGCUGGCGGCGUGCCUAAUACAUGCAAGUCGAACGGGGAAAGCUUUCGGGUGAGUACUAGUGGCGCACGGGUGAGGAACGCGUGGAUAAUCUGCCUUAGAGUGGGGGAUAACUAGUCGAAAGAUUAGCUAAUACCGCAUAAGACCACGAGAGCUGCGGCUUUUGAGGUCAAAGGUUUUUCGCUCUAAGAUGAGUCCGCGUAAGAUUAGCUAGUUGGUGAGGUAACGGCUCACCAAGGCGACGAUCUUUAUCUGGUCUGAGAGGAUGAUCAGUCACACUGGAACUGAGACACGGUCCAGACUCCUACGGGAGGCAGCAGUAGGGAAUAUUGCACAAUGGAGGAAACUCUGAUGCAGCGACGCCGCGUGAGUGAUGAAGGCCUUCGGGUCGUAAAGCUCUGUCGCAGGGGAAUAACACAAUGAAGGUACCCUGUAAGAAAGGAUCGGCUAACUUCGUG
rnacentral:rRNA from 1 species